GCUUAAUACAAGCAAAGGAUUCAAAUACAAUUACACCUACCUAGCCAAACCCACCCAUGAGGUAGAUCAAGCCCACAAGAAAAGAACCCUAAGUUAACACUAGGUAUUCAAUUCGAAACCUUGACCAGACAAUAAAGAGAAGAGGCAGCGCCGAACGUACGUCGCAAACCCGGAUGCACACCAUCAAUCAUCGAAGACGACUUAUAAAAGCUAGAACUACCAAAAACAAAUGUUAGCUUAAAGGAGAAUCCUUAAAAUGGCGUAAUCUUCCAAGUCUUCAAAUCUUUGGACAGUGAAAAGCAACCGUAAGCCAAUAAAAGGUUAAAAAAAUAUUUAAGUGUCAUUGAAACAGCAGAGAAUGGUGGUGAUAGAGCUAAUUGGCGAUCACUUGCACCAUAUGGGCCAUCUCAACCUAGCGAGAUACCACCAACAUCACAGAUGUAUUUCCUCUCGCCAACCACGACAAAAUCAAAAGCCGAUGCUUAAAGCUUCCUGGAACUUGCAACAACCAAGCAUCACAAGGAAAAGAAAACUCAGAAGUAGCAACUCAAAGAAACCCUCAAAAUUAACUAGACAACUGCAAAUCAAAGUAAAACAUAAUAUCUACACUCCAACAUAGGAGGCAGGGAUAAAACCUGCAUCUAGGUUAAGGGAAGGGAAGCCUUCCCUGUUCGGAAGAGUAGAGGAAUACCAAUUGAGCGUCAAUUGAAA
rnacentral:misc_RNA from 1 species